CUAAUUAACAAGUUGUUCAUGACUGAAUUUGCAUUUCAGUAAAUAUAUUUUAAUAAUACAUACAUCUAUUAAAUAGUUUCUUGUUGUAGGUAAUGACUACGAUUAUUCAUCCUAGGUGGGAGAUGGAUGAGAAGGCUAGGAUUUUUCGUGUUUGUGUUUGGUUUAGGCCUAUUCAGCCUCCAACUAAUGCGGAGGAAACUGCUAGUAGAGUGAGGAGAAGGGUUAUUGGGGGGAGUUUUAUUAGGGUAGAGAGUAGAAGGGCUGUGAUUAAGGGAUUGUGAUGUUAUGAGGAGGAGGCUUAUUGGAGGGAGUUUUAUUAGGGUGGAGAGUAGCAGGGUGGUAGCUAGGGAGGAGCCUUAAAGUACUUUAGGAAAUCAGAAGUGGAAGGGGACUAGUCCUAAUUUGAUU
rnacentral:lncRNA from 1 species